UUGGGUGGCUGGGUGGCUG
rnacentral:misc_RNA from 1 species